UGUUUUACUUUGAUUUCCACACCAUUCUUUUUAUCCUUUUUCUUUCUUUCCUUCUUUCUUUCGAACGAUCAAACGCGAAGGCAUUGUGGAGGGGGCAGGCCGGUAAAAGGAAGUUGAAAAAAAGGAAAAAGGACUGUUAA
rnacentral:ribozyme from 14 species